rnacentral:rRNA from 1 species
GACGAACGCUGGCGGCGUGCUUAACACAUGCAAGUCGAACGAAGUGGCGAACGGGUGAGUAACGCGUAAUCAACCUGCCCUUCAGAGGGGGACAACAGUUGGAAACGACUGCUAAUACCGCAUCCAGAAGGAGGGGAUUGCGUCUGAUGAGAAAGUUGGAGGGGUAACGGCCCACCAAGGAGAUGAGCAGUAGCCGGUCUGAUAGGAUGAACGGCCACAAGGGGACUGAGACACGGCCCAGACUCCUACGGGAUGCAGCAGGGGGGAAUCUUCCGCAAUGGACGAAAGUCGGACGGGGCAACGCCGCGUGAGUGAUGACGGCCUUCGGGUUGUAAAGCUCUGUUAAUCGGGACGCGGUACCGGAAUAGAAAGCCACGGCUAACUACGUGCCAGCAGCCGCGGUAAUUC